UAAAAAUUAGUGGCAGACGGGUGAGUAAUGCAUAGGAAUCUACCUAGUAGUAUGGGAUAGCCACUAGAAAUGGUGGGUAAUACUGUAUAAUCCCUGCGGGGGAAAGAUUUAUCGCUAUUAGAUGAGCCUAUGUUAGAUUAGCUAGUUGGUAGGGUAAAGGCCUACCAAGGCAGUGAUCUAUAGCUGGUCUGAGAGGAUGAUCAGCCACACUGGAACUGAGAUACGGUCCAGACUCCUACGGGAGGCAGCAGUGGGGAAUAUUGGACAAUGGGCGCAAGCCUGAUCCAGCUAUGCCGCGUGAGUGAGGAAGGCCUUAGGGUUGUAAAACUCUUUCAGUGGGGAAGAUAAUGACGGUACCCACAGAAGAAGUCCCGGCAAACUCCGUGCCAGCAGCCGCGGUAAUACGGAGGGGGCAAGCGUUGUUCGGAAUUAUUGGGCGUAAAGGGCAUGUAGGCGGUUCGGUAAGUUAAAGGUGAAAUGCC
rnacentral:rRNA from 1 species